rnacentral:pre_miRNA from 1 species
UUUCAUGGAUGAACAAAGAAAGUGGUUUCUUGAGAUGGAAUUUGCUCCUGGUGAAGUUGUUGUGAA